rnacentral:rRNA from 1 species
GAUGAACGCUAGCGGCAGGCUUAAUACAUGCAAGUCGAACGGCAGCACGGGUAGCAAUACCUGGUGGCGAGUGGCGCACGGGUGCGUAACACGUAUGCAACAUACCCUUUACCGAGACAUAACCCAUCGAAAGGUGAGCUAAUAUCUCAUAACAUUAUGAACUGGCAUCGGUUUAUAAUUAAAGUUCCGGUGGUAGAGGAUAGGCAUGCGUCCCAUUAGCUAGUUGGUAGGGUAACGGCUUACCAAGGCGACGAUGGGUAGGGGUUCUGAGAGGAAAAUCCCCCACACUGGUACUGAGACACGGACCAGACUCCUACGGGAGGCAGCAGUAAGGAAUAUUGGUCAAUGGGCGCAAGCCUGAACCAGCCAUGCCGCGUGAAGGACGAAGGCCUUAUGGGUCGUAAACUUCUUUUAUAAGGGAAAAAAUUGGGGUACGUGUACCUCAUUGCUUGUACCUUAUGAAUAAGCAUCGGCUAACUCCGUGCCAGCCGCCGCGGUAA